rnacentral:rRNA from 1 species
UAGGGAAUCUUCGGCAAUGGGGGCAACCCUGACCGAGCAACGCCGCGUGAGUGAAGAAGGUUUUCGGAUCGUAAAGCUCUGUUGUAAGUCAAGAACGGGUGUGAGAGUGGAAAGUUCACACUGUGACGGUAGCUUACCAGAAAGGGACGGCUAACUACGUGCCAGUAGCCGCGGUAAUACGUAGGUCCCGAGCGUUGUCCGGAUUUAUUGGGCGUAAAGCGAGCGCAGGCGGUUUGAUAAGUCUGAAGUUAAAGGCUGUGGCUCAACCAUAGUUCGCUUUGGAAACUGUCAAACUUGAGUGCAGAAGGGGAGAGUGGAAUUCCAUGUGUAGCGGUGAAAUGCGUAGAUAUAUGGAGGAACACCGGUGGCGAAAGCGGCUCUCUGGUCUGUAACUGACGCUGAGGCUCGAAAGCGUGGGGAGCGAACAGGAUUAGAUACCCUGGUAGUCCACGCCGUAAACGAUGAGUGCUAGGUGUUGGAUCCUUUCCGGGAUUCAGUGCCGAAGCUAACGCAUUAAGCACUCCGCCUGGGGGAGUACGACCGCAAGGUUGAAAC